rnacentral:rRNA from 1 species
CAAUAGCGUAUAUUAAAGUUGUUGCAGUUAAAAAGCUCGUAGUUGGAUUUGUGGUGUACUUCGGCGGCCCGUCACUAUGUGAUGGAGCUUGCUGAAGUCGCCAUCCUUGGGUGGAUCCUGUGUGGCAUUAAGUUGUCGUGCAGGGGAUGCCCAUCGUUUACUGUGAGAAAAUUAGAGUGUUCAAAGCAGGCUUAUGCCGUUGAAUAUGUUAGCAUGGAAUAAUAAGAUAGGACCUUGGUACUAUUUUGUUGGUUUGCGCACCAAGGCAAUGAUUAAUAGGGACAGUUGGGGGUAUUCGUAUUUCAUUGUCAGAGGUGAAAUUCUUGGAUUUUUGAAAGACGAACUACUGCGACAGCAUUUACCAAGGAUGUUUUCAUUAA